GGUUUCUCAAGGGACGCAAGUUAGCUUCGGUACAGAAGAGGAGCUUCUCAAGGACCCUAUGACUUCUCAAGAUACAUCAGCAGUGCCAAAUACAGAAGUAAAUACAUCUGUGCAGUUAAGGUUUGGGCUAGGUGACUCAGAAUUGAUUAAUAGCCAUGGGGCUCCCAUCCCACGAUAUGGAAGUAAUCAGUGGCUAUUACAGGUUGUACAACAAGGACAAUAUCCGAAGUUCAAUGGGAUGCAGUAGUGCAUUGAGGUUGAUAUAUGAUGGAGACUGCUAGACUGUGUAUCAAAGAAA